UUUACCUGGAUAUAGGACGCUCACAUAUCCCACCCACGGUACAGGUGGCUCCGCGGCGGCGCCCCCAGGUUCAUCGAUGAAUUCCCGACGAGUCCCGCCAUUCCCCACCCCGAAAGGUCACGCAAAUACGCGGUGUAUGUCGGUGAAGCUCUCUGCCCUCCCAAUUUGGCCUGACCGGCGAGGCAGCUGAAAGGCACCGACAAUGCCCCAAUCUCUUUCUCAGCCAAAGUCUCUGGC
rnacentral:lncRNA from 7 species